rnacentral:tRNA from 1 species
GGGGUUGUGUCUCAGUGGUAGAGUGCUUGCCUGGCAAGCAUGAGUCACUGGGUUUGAUCCUCAACACCA